rnacentral:lncRNA from 1 species
AGCUCUGCCAGUAGCUUCCCGGCGCGCCGCCCCUGCACCGCUUCGGGCCAUAACCUUGCUGGCGACUGUCUGAAGAACUUCCCGUGGUUUCAUUCUUUUCUUCGGGUUUAGUCUUAGCUCUGACAUUUUAACCAAAAGAUUACACGUUAAUUAACGAGGUAUUAAAGGGGAAGAUCUGCAUACCAGAAUCUCCUGGGGAUCAUUUAGAUAUUGCUAACACUUUGCUUUCCUGUAGAGAAUCUGAAUUAAUAAGCUGGGGAUAGGGCUGUGUCUGAAGGAGUAUAGAAGUUCCAUUCUCAGGUGUGGCCGCUCCUGGAUUCAGGAGUGGGUUAUACCGGGGCUUCCCAUCCACAGAGAACACAAUUUCCAGGGUGAGUCCACACAGUAUGGAGGAGAGAGUGCUGGUCAGAGGGUCCAGGAAACCUGGUUCUCAAACUAGCAUCAC